UGCGAGCGUUAAUCGGAUUUACUGGGCGUAAAGCGUGCGUAGGCGGCUUUUUAAGUCGGAUGUGAAAUCCCUGAGCUUAACUUAGGAAUUGCAUUCGAUACUGGAGAGCUAGAGUAUGGGAGAGGAUGGUAGAAUUCCAGGUGUAGCGGUGAAAUGCGUAGAGAUCUGGAGGAAUACCGAUGGCGAAGGCAGCCAUCUGGCCUAAUACUGACGCUGAGGUACGAAAGCAUGGGGAGCAAACAGGAUUAGAUACCCUGGUAGUCCAUGCCGUAAACGAUGUCUACUAGCCGUUGGGGCCUUUGAGGCUUUAGUGGCGCAGCUAACGCGAUAAGUAGACCGCCUGGGGAGUACGGUCGCAAGACUAAAACUCAAAUGAAUUGACGGGGGCCCGCACAAGCGGUGGAGCAUGUGGUUUAAUUCGAUGCAACGCGAAGAACCUUACCUGGCCUUGACAUACUAAGAACUUUCCAGAGAUGGAUUGGUGCCUUCGGGAACUUAGAUACAGGUGCUGCAUGGCUGUCGUCAGCUCGUGUCGUGAGAUGUUGGGUUAAGUCCCGCAACGAGCGCAACCCUUUUCCUUAUUUGCCAGCGGGUCAUGCCGGGAACUUUAAGGAUACUGCCAGUGACAAACUGGAGGAAGGCGGGGACGACGUCAAGUCAUCAUGGCCCUUACGGCCAGGGCUACACACGUGCUACAAUGGUCGGUACAAAGGGUUGCUACCUCGCGAGAGGAUGCUAAUCUCAAAAAGCCGAUCGUAGUCCGGAUCGCAGUCUGCAACUCGACUGCGUGAAGUCGGAAUCGCUAGU
rnacentral:rRNA from 1 species